rnacentral:rRNA from 1 species
GGCGUGCCUAAUACAUGCAAGUCGAGCGGACAGAUGGGAGCUUGCUCCCUGAUGUUAGCGGCGGACGGGUGAGUAACACGUGGGUAACCUGCCUGUAAGACUGGGAUAACUCCGGGAAACCGGGGCUAAUACCGGAUGGUUGUUUGAACCGCAUGGUUCAGACAUAAAAGGUGGCUUCGGCUACCACUUACAGAUGGACCCGCGGCGCAUUAGCUAGUUGGUGAGGUAACGGCUCACCAAGGCGACGAUGCGUAGCCGACCUGAGAGGGUGAUCGGCCACACUGGGACUGAGACACGGCCCAGACUCCUACGGGAGGCAGCAGUAGGGAAUCUUCCGCAAUGGACGAAAGUCUGACGGAGCAACGCCGCGUGAGUGAUGAAGGUUUUCGGAUCGUAAAGCUCUGUUGUUAGGGAAGAACAAGUGCCGUUCAAAUAGGGCGGCACCUUGACGGUACCUAACCAGAAAGCCACGGCUAACUACGUGCCAGCAGCCGCGGUAAUACGUAGGUGGCAAGCGUUGUCCGGAAUUAUUGGGCGUAAAGGGCUCGCAGGCGGUUUCUUAAGUCUGAUGUGAAAGCCCCCGGCUCAACCGGGGAGGGUCAUUGGAAACUGGGGAACUUGAGUGCAGAAGAGGAGAGUGGAAUUCCACGUGUAGCGGUGAAAUGCGUAGAGAUGUGGAGGAACACCAGUGGCGAAGG